rnacentral:misc_RNA from 1 species
UCGAAACCUGCACAGCAGAACGACCCGCGAAUUGGUUACAACCGACGGGGGGCGGGGGGCGUUCGUCGCCCCUUCGCCCCCUCCUGCGGGUGGGGACCUCGUGUCUCCUGCCCGCAAACCGAACCCCGGCGCGGAACGCGCCAAGGAAAUCUAACCAAGAGAGCCAUGCCGGAGGCCCCGGACACGGUGCGCCCCCGGCGUCGGCGUCUUAUGAAUUAUUC